UUACGACCACAUCACGUCGAAACACCGGCUCACGAACAAUCACUGAAGUUAAGCAACGUCGAGCCUGAUCAGUACCUACAUGGGUGACCGCUUGGGAAUACUACGUAUUGUAAG